rnacentral:rRNA from 1 species
AGCGAACGCUGGCGGCAGGCCUAACACAUGCAAGUCGAACGAGGUCUUCGGACUUAGUGGCGGACGGGUGAGUAACACGUUGGUACCUACCCCUUAGUGGGGAAUAACUUCGAGAAAUCGAGGCUAAUACCGCAUAAUAUCUACGGAUUAAAGCAUUUAUGCGCUAAGGGAGGGGCCUGCGUCUGAUUAGCUAGUUGGUGAGGUAAAAGCUCACCAAGGCGACGAUCAGUAGCUGGAUCGAGAGGUUGACCAGCCACACUGGGACUGAGAUACGGCCCAGACUCCUACGGGAGGCAGCAGUGAGGAAUCUUCCACAAUGGGCGAAAGCCUGAUGGAGCAAUGCCGCGUGCAGGAUGACGGCCUUCGGGUUGUAAACUGCUUUUAUAUGGGAAGAUUAUGACGGUACCAUAUGAAUAAGGACCGGCUAACUACGUGCCAGCAGCCGCCGUAAGAC